UACGUAGGGGGCAAGCGUUGUCCGGAAUUAUUGGGCGUAAAGCGCACGUAGGCGGCCUCGCAAGUCUGAUGUGAAAUCCCUCGGCUCAACCGAGGACGUGCAUCGGAAACUGCGGGGCUUGAGUACUGAAGAGGAUCGCGGAAUUCCCGGUGUAGAGGUGAAAUUCGUAGAUAUCGGGAGGAACACCAGUGGCGAAGGCGGCGAUCUGGGCAGAUACUGACGCUGAGGUGCGAAAGCGUGGGGAGCAAACAGG
rnacentral:rRNA from 1 species